GAUGAAGAACGUAGCGAAAUGCGAUAAGUAGUGUGAAUUGCAGAAUUCAGUGAAUCAUCGAAUCUUUGAACGCACAUUGCGCCCCUUGGUAUCCCGAGGGGCAUGCCUGUUCGAGCGUCAUUUCUCCACUCAAGCCUGGCUUGGUGUUGGGCGACGUCCCCUUUGGGGACGCGCCUCGAAACGCUCGGCGGCGUGGCACCGGCUUUAAGCGUAGCAGAAUCUUUCGCUUUGGAAGUCGGGGCCCCGUCUGCCGGAAGACCUACUCGCAAGGUUGACCUCGGAUCAGGCAGGGAUACCCGCUGAACUUAAGCAUAUCAAUAAGCGGAGGA
rnacentral:misc_RNA from 1 species